CCUACGGGAGGCAGCAGUGAGGAAUAUUGGUCAAUGGACGAGAGUCUGAACCAGCCAUGUAGCGUGAAGGAUGACUGCCCUCUGGGUUGUAAACUUCUUUUAUAUGGGAAUAAAACGUUCCACGUGUGGGAUUUUGUAUGUACCAUAUGAAUAAGGAUCGGCUAACUACGUGCCAGCAGCCGCGGUAAUACGGAGGAUGCGAGCGUUAUCCGGAUUUAUUGGGUUGAAAGGGUGCGUAGGCGGGCUGUUAAGUCAGCGGUAAAAGCCCGGGGUUCAACCCCGGCGAGCCGUUGAAACUGGCUGUCUUGAGAGUUGUAGAGGUAGGCGGAAUGCGCAGUGUAGCGGUGAAAUGCUUAGAGAUUGCGAAGAACUCCGAUUGCGAAGGCAGCAUACCGGCGGCGAUCUGACGCUGAGGCACGAAAGCGUGGGUAUCGAACAGGAUUAGAUACCCCUGUAGUC
rnacentral:rRNA from 1 species